CACGUAGGCGGUCUGUUAUGUCGGAUGUGAAAGCCCUUGGCUCAACUGAGGAAGUGCAUCCGAAACUGGCAGGCUAGAGUAUGUAAGAGGGUCGCGGAAUUCCCGGUGUAGAGGUGAAAUUCGUAGAUAUCGGGAGGAACACCGGUGGCGAAGGCGGCGACCUGGGACAAUACUGACGCUGAGGUGCGAAAGCGUGGGGAGCAAACA
rnacentral:rRNA from 1 species